rnacentral:rRNA from 1 species
CAGGCCUAACACAUGCAAGUCGAACGGCAGCAUGGAAGAGCUUGCUCUUCUGAUGGCGAGUGGCGAACGGGUGAGUAAAGCAUCGGAACGUACCGUGUAAUGGGGGAUAACGUAGCGAAAGUUACGCUAAUACCGCAUACGACCUGAGGGUGAAAGCAGGGGAUCGCAAGACCUUGCGUUAUACGAGCGGCCGAUGUCAGAUUAGCUAGUUGGUGAGGUAAAGGCUCACCAAGGCGACGAUCUGUAGCGGGUCUGAGAGGAUGAUCCGCCACACUGGGACUGAGACACGGCCCAGACUCCUACGGGAGGCAGCAGUGGGGAAUUUUGGACAAUGGGGGAAACCCUGAUCCAGCCAUGCCGCGUGAGUGAAGAAGGCCUUCGGGUUGUAAAGCUCUUUCGGCCGGGAAGAAAUCGCACAGGCUAAUACUCUGUGUGGAAGACGGUACCGGCAUAAGAAGCACCGGCUACUCUG